rnacentral:lncRNA from 1 species
UCACAUUAAGAAUUAAGAUCAUGGUGGACGUUUGUCAACCAGUAACCAUAUAUAUAUAUAUAGAUGUAUACAUUGUCUUCUCUCGCUUUCUUUGUAAACAAGAGAUGGAUAAAUUGUUGGUAGGUGGAAAUCAAGAGUUUUAUUUCCAUAACAUUUUUGAAAUAUUAGUGUUGAAAAGGAGAUAUUAGUAUAUCAAUACAGAGCACGUUUGCAUGGAUUUCUUGUCCGAUAUAGAAUCUAACAUUUGGUAAAGACAUAUCUAAAUGCUAUAAAACACUAACUUGGUAUAUGAAAAGAAAAUAAAAAAAUUAGGUGGAUUUGUUUGUUUUCUUUAGAAACUGAAACACAAUAGUACUGUCACUUGCCAUUAGGCAUUUCUCAUUAGUUUUUUAUAAACCGACAAUUAACAAAACUUGCCAAAUUUUAGGCGAGAAAAGACAUAAAAUAGACGUGGA